rnacentral:rRNA from 1 species
UACAUGGGGUGCAAACGUUGCUCGGAAUUAUUGGGCGUAAAGCGCGCGUAGGCGGUUACUUAAGUCGGAUGUGAAAGCCCUCGGCUUAACUGAGGAAGUGCAUCCGAAACUGAGUAGCUAGAGUACGAAAGAGGGUCGCGGAAUUCCCGGUGUAGAGGUGAAAUUCGUAGAUAUCAGGAAGAACACCCGUGGCGAAGGCGGCUCUCUGGGACGGUACUGACGCUGAGACGCGAAAGCGUGGGGAGCGAACAGG